GGGUGUGAAGUUGACCUGGCUGCAACACCUGUCACCCCAUUGAUAGCUAGGGCUGAUUGGUUUGGCUGAUCUGGUUGGCUAGUCCAGUGUCCCCUUCCUCCAGCACUGUUCCAUGUUGAAGAGGACGAUAUUCUCCAAAUAGAGGAGGACUGGUCUUCAGUCAAGGGUGUACAAGUACCUCCACUCCCCUGCUAGAACCCCCUAACAAGCUCUCAGAAAUACAGGUAUUUCAAGAUAGACUGUCUAGAUGCCCUUGGUAAAUCACGGCUUUAGCUGUUGAGCUAAUUGGUCCUUAUU
rnacentral:snRNA from 1 species